rnacentral:tRNA from 2 species
GUAGUUCAGUUGGUUAGAAUACCUGCCUGUCACGCAGGGGGUCGCGGGUUCGAGUCCCGUCCA